AAAAAAAUGUAAGUUCUUAAAAUGCAACAGUAAGAAAACUAACAAAAAGUGGACAAAAGAGCUCAUAGACACUAAACCAAAAAAAAUAUACAGAUGGCAAAUAAGCUUAUGAAAGUAUGUUCAGCAAAAUAUGCCAUUAUGGAUUAUAAGUUAAAACAACAAUGAAAUACCACUACACCCAAAAAUCUAAGGCACUGACAGCAUCAAAUGUUGGCAAGGAUGUGGAGCAACAGGAAUUCUCAUUCAUUGCUCUUGGGAACGCAAAAUGGUACAGCUACUUCGUAAGACAGUUUGGUGGGUUCUUACAAAACUCUAACUACUCUUGUCAUGAGAUCCAACAAUAACUUUCUUUGGUAUUUACCCAAAUGAAUUGAAAGUAUAUAACGCACCCAAACCUGCAGAUGAAUGUUUAUAGUUGCUUUAUUUGUAACUGACCAAACUCAAAAGCAACCAGAUGUUCUUCAGCAGAAAAACUGUGAUAAACUGUGGUCCAUCCAUACAAUGGAAUAUUAUUCAAUGAUAAAAAGAAGUGAGUUAUCAGCCCACAGAGAAACACAGAGGAGCCUUAAAUGUAUAUGCUAAAUGAAAGAGGCCAAUCUGAAAGAGCUAUAUACUAUAUGAUUCCAACAAUAUUAUAUUCUGGAAAAAAACAAACUAUGGGAAAUGGUAAAAAGACCAGUGAUUUCUAGAGUUAGGGGAGAGGGGGGAUGAACAGGUGGAGCACACAUAAUUUUCAAGGCAGUGAAACCAUUCUCUAUGAUACCAUAGUAGUGGAUAUAUGUCAUUAUACAUUUGUCAAGACCCAUAGAAUGGAUAACACAAAAAGUAAACUUUAAUGUAAACAAUGAGCUGUGGUUAAAAAUAAUAUAUCAAUAUUGACAUCAGUUGUAAGUGUACCACACCAAUGUUGGAUGUUAGUGGUAGGAGAAACUUAUUGUGUAUGGAUGGGGGGCAGGAGAGGAGGUGUAUAUGGGAAUUAGUACUUACUGUUCAGUUUUUCAGGAAACCCAAAACUGCUCUAAAAAAUGGAGUCUAUUAGUUAAAAGCAAACAGUGUAUAAUAGCAGUAUCUAGGUCUGAAUUUAUUUUUCUUCUUGUUAACAUUCAGUGAUUUUUGAAACUCUGAACUGUGUUUAUAAAAAAACAGUGGUUCAGCCACUCAUAUAUAACCAAGAGAUAUAAUUUUUAGAAUGUGUAUUUCCACUGUUGGCAAAUAUUUGUUGAGUUGAAUGCCUAAGAAUGAGAUAGAAGAAUGAAUGGAAUAGAUUGACAGAUCCCCUUUCCUUAGAAUAAAGAAGACUCUUGAAGAUUUGUAAAGUGUUCUGUGGGAAGAAAUGAUGUUUUAGCAAUAAUUGGAAAUUUUUUUUGAAUUUCUAUUCCUUUCAGUUUCCAACGUAGAGCACAGUUGUGGUAUAACCAAAAAGAAGCAGGGGGAAAGAGCAGUCACCUUGUCAGUCAGCCAAUAUUUGCUGAAUGCUACUAUGUUCUGGGCCCACAACACAGGUAUUCAAUAUAGACAAGGUCCCUCUGUCAAGGACCAGUAGUUUAGUGACUUUGAUCAUGACAUUUGGGAGGGACAGUCUUGGUUUUGAUUGUAGCUCUGACACCUAUGGGCUAUGAAAUCUUGGUUGAUUUACCUUAGUGAUUUUCAUCUUUAAAUUGUCCAUAAGGAUCAUACCUACCAUUGACAGACAUGUAAGGAUUGCAUUUUGGCGUAUCAAGCACUUCACGCAUAAUAUGUAUGCAAAUUAAAGAUACAUUUUUCCUUUUAUCUCCCUGUGGAAUCGGAAGUACAGUAAGGCUGCUAAAGGCUUGGCAUUCCUUUAUCCUCUUUAACCUAAGCCUCCCUCCCAGCUCAAGGAGCAUCGUUAGGAAAAAAUGGGUUAGAAGCAGCUAUGAAUGGAAGGGUCGGAGGCAACCAAGUCCUUUAACUGUCUCAUCUGAUAAAGACAAAGCAGCACUCCUUAGAAAAUCCCCACAGAAGCUAUUGUUUCAAUGUAGAAAGUGUAUAUGUGUAUGUUUAUUGUGAUUAUUUCACUUCUCCAAAUAAGGAGAAGAAAGUACCUACGGAGACAAAACCCCAAACCAAAUGCAAAACACUUAAUGAAAGCUUUCACACACACACACACACACACACACACACACACACACACACACACACACACACUCAGCUCAACAAAUAAAUGACAAUAGGCACUUCUUUGCUUGUAAAGAUUUCCCACGUCCACAUGAAAGAGCAUACUUGGAGUUCCUGUUGUGGCUCAGUGGGUUAAGAACCGGUGAUAAUUUCCAUGAGGAUGCGGGUUUGAUCCUUGGCAUUGCUCAGUGGACUAAGGAUCUGGUCUGGCCACAAGCUGUGGUGUAGGUCACAGAUGCAGCUAGGAUCUGGUGUUGCCGUGGCCGUGGCAUAGGCCUGAAGCUGCAGCUCUGGUUCGACCCCUAGCCAGGGAAUUUCCAUAUUGCCACAGGUGUGGCUGUGAAAAAAAAAAAAGAAAAAAGAAGAGCAUACUUGUAGAGAGCCAAGUGGCCACUUAUCUUAACUAGUCUCCUCCUUUCUGGUGGUAGAGGGGCCCACUCACCCCCAGUCCAAUUUCUGAGUGGUCAGCAGCAACAACGGACAGAAGAGCCAUUCAGAGAAGACCAGGCAGGGAAGUUGCUUCUGAAUUAAUGCUGAAGGGGCAGGAGGACACUUACAUGCUCUUGAAAAACCAGCUCCUGGGCUGUGUGGCUUCUCCCCUCAGAGAACUACCUUUACUGAGUUAUAUUUUCUUGCAACAUUGUCUGCUUCUGUGGAGGAAAAGAGAUGAGAAUUGCAUGAGCAGCCCCUGUCUUUAGUGAAAACUGCACACUGAUCCGAUUGAUUUCAUUGUCCAGGAAAAAAACGGAGAACAACAGAUUCUCUAUUAUUAUUAUCAUUAUUUUGCCUUAGCUGGUAAGCUUUAGUCAGUCCUCUGUCUUAGAAAUUGGAUGCUUAGAAAUCUUUAGUCCAUUAAUAUUUUUCGAGUGAACUAUGCUCUUUGUGAUCCUUAAAUAUCUGAAUGUAUAAGCCCCCUCAAAUCCUCUCAGAAGCAGGCAAGAAAAAAAUCUUUAGUAAUUGUAAAAAUAGUGUCAUUUCCUCAAGUGGGCAGAGACUCUCCAAACCAUAAUUAUGAUUUGAUUUCUCAUUCACCUCUUGAUCUCAAACCUUUUAUUUAAAUCACAGAGACUUUUUUUUUCUUCCAGAACAGGAAGAGUGCUCACUCAUAGCAUUUUCCUUUCUUUAGAGGCCAGUCUAGGGCACUAAGUAGAGGAAGGUUUAAAAGGACAGAGACAAAGUCAUUCAUUCCUAAGUCUUUCUUACAGCUUUCUCCAACUGAAAUUAAAAACAGACAUACACACACGGCCAGUAGAUAUUGUUCCUGGGAAUCUCCAUAUGCCGCAGGCAUGGCCCUAAAAAGACAAAAGAUGCCCACAAAAAAGAAAUGGAAUGAAAUGGAAUGGGAAAUACCAGAGUAUGUGGUAUGUAUUAAGGGCAAAGCAUUGAGCUAUAAUAUUUGCUUCCCAUAUGUAUAUAAGCAUACGGAGUCACAAUGAAUUUUUUUUCUAAUAAGGGCUGUGGUGAGGAAUAUUUAAAAGCCAGUUGUUUAGAGGAAAUUCAACUAUCAGUUGGAUAGCUGAAUCCUGUUGUUGUUGAUGAUGACAACAGCUAAAAUUGGAAUGGUUACCAUGUACCAGUGCUUUUAUUUUUUUUACACACAUCACAUUUUAUUUGGAAAACACAUAUAAUGUAGCUACAUAACAAAGAAUAAAAUGUAAGGAUUUCCUACCAUUGUUCUCACAAAUACCCACCAAGAUGGGCACAUAAUACUAAUGGUCUCUGUUUCAGAGAGGUUGAUGUGCCUUCCCAGGGUCAUGGAGCUGCCGCAGAAGUGGAGCUGCGAUGUGAACAAAGAUGAUCUGUCUCCAGGGUCAGUGGACUAGAAUCACCAUGUUUUCAUUUAAGACACCUUGAACUAAGCAGUUCUCAACCUUUUGAUCAUUGCAGAGUGGCUCUGCCCUCGGAGGACAGCCCACAGAAGCAAAAGAUGAAGCUAGCCUUGAUCCCAUCUAGUUCUGGCCCUUUGGUUUCAUGGCAGCCAUGCAUUAUGGUAGGAAGCCCUGGCUUUAGAAUAGAGGCUUGAAUUGACUGUGAUAUCAAACAGUUGCUAACCUUUGUGAGUCUUGGCUUCCUCCUCUAUUUUCUUCAUCCUUUUCCAUAGAGCUGUUGUCCCCUGAAUAUAUGUGCUUAUUUAUUUAUUUUGGCCACAUCCAUGGCGUGGAAGUUCCCGGCACAGGCGUUGAACCCAGGCCACAGCAGUGACAAUGCCAGACCCUUUAAUUGCUAGGCAACCAGGGCACUCUUGAACCCAUGCUCUUCAAAGCACCUACUCCGUGCCAGUUGCUGUUCUAAGCAUUUCUCCUGUUCGGGUGCAGUGAAGUCUCACAGAACCCUACGUGGUAGAUCCUGUUAGCAUCCCUCUUUUACUAGGGUCAAAACUGAAGGCUUAAAAGGACCAGGAACUUGCCCAGACUCACGUAGCUAUUAAGGGACAUUGCUGUGAGUUCAGCCCAUGUAGACCUUCUCCAGAGCAGUGGUUUUAACCAUGACGCUAAAGAUCCUCCACAAAUGCUAAAGAAAUCCUUCUUAAGUUUUCCCCAUUCAACUCUUUGGACAUCUUUCUGAGUCCUUUUUGAUUGGUCUGAAAGUUCCUUCUAGCUAAUAGAAACAUCCGUUCAGUAGUGUCAGCCAUCAGCCUUCUCCCCUCUAACUCCAUUUGUGGGAUGAAGGAUGGGCUUUCCCCUCCUAGGCCUGUAAAGGUUAUGCCAGCUUUCUCCUGAGCUCAGAGGAGCAGUUUCUCCAAAGUUCCUCUCUUCCUGAACCCAUUUCUUCAAGUCCUCAGGCUUCCUGGCAAGAAUUAACUUUUUUGUUAGUUUAUUCAUUAUUUGAAGUUGCAAAUAUUAACUCUACAGCCUCUCCAACCAUCGGCUCCAUUUCCUCUCUCUUGUCUCUUCCACUAUUUUAUGCAACUUAAAUUCGACUUAAAUUCUUUAAAAAGGACUGUUUUUAAAUGACUCAUGUAGUAAUUUUCCAUAUGCUCUUUUAACACAUCAUGUUUAAAAUGAAGACCGUAACAGGCUGCAAGUAACUGAAAGUGUAUUGAAACAUAUUUCUGAGUGUUGACAUUCAGAGAGUCUGGCAAUUUUUUUUUUUAAUAGUCACACCUGCAGCCUAUGGAAGUUCCUAGGCUAGGGGUUGAAUCGUUGCUACAGCUGCCAGCCUAUGCCACAGCCACAGCAGUGCCAGAUCCGAGCUGCAUCUGUGACCUGCACCGUAGCUUGCAGCAACGUUGGAAUCUUAACCCACUGACGAAGGCCAGGGAUCAAACCUGCCUCCUCACAGAGACAAUGUUGGGUUCUUUCCCCACUGAGUCACAGUGGGAAUGCCAUCGUCUGGUAAUAUUUUCCUAUCAGUCAUUUGAGGAAAACUGGGGGCUUUGAACCAAUGUUGGAAUUAUUUUUCCUCCCAGUAGAGAUGCAAGCUGAGUCCUAGAGCUUAGGAGUAGCCUCCAGAUGUCUUCUUUCUGGCUUGGCCUUUCAGAUAGAGACAAGGAAGCAAAGAAAAUGAGCAGUUACAAAAUGUUUCCCUUCUAACCCCUCCAGCCUGAUUUAGUACAGAAUAGGUAGCCUUAUUUUUUAUUAUAACAAAUUAUCUGUAAUAGCAAUGGAGAACAGCUGCUUGCUAACCUCCUCCCAUAUUGCUUUUUAUACUUUAAUUCCAAUUUUAGGUCACUUCUUCCUAAGGUCAAAUCCUUUGAGUUUCCCUUGGCCAAGCUCUCAAUUCUCAGCUUUUAUUUGUCUUUACAGCAUUUUGCCCACAUCCAGAUUUUCAACCUGUUACAGCCUAUUAAUGUUUAAUCCACAGUACAGAUACUGCUGCUGGAUUAAGGAUAAGAUAGCUGUCACCUCUAUGGGAAUGAUUAUAGAAAGCAACAGGAAGAACAUGAAAAAGAAAAAAAACUAAACAAAGCCAAAAAAAAAAAAAAAAAAAA
rnacentral:lncRNA from 1 species